rnacentral:rRNA from 1 species
UAUUAUUAAAAUUGUUGUUUUUUGUUGCUUGAGUAGUAAUAGAUAAGGUCUUAAAACUCAAAGAAUUUGGCGGUAUGUUAGUCUUUUCAGAGGAAUCUGUCUAUUAAUUGAUACCACACAUUAUUAAUGUACUUAGUUAGGUAAUUCAGCUUGUAUAUCGUCGUUAUAAGAUUAUUUUUUUAGAAUUUAAUUUUCUUGUUAUUAUUAAGAUAUUAUAACAGAUCAAGGUGCAGCAGUUAAUUAAGAUUAAGAUGGAUUACAAUAAAUUUAUUUAUUAUGAAUUUUGGGAUGUUAUUAAAAUUGAAGGUGGAUUUGAAAGUAAUUUUGUUAUAUUAUGAUAAUUUGAUUGGAGCUCUAACCUGUGUACAAAUCGCCCGUCGCUCUCUUUAUAUAAGAG